GGAGAGAUGCAGGAGUGGUUGAACUGGCCGCUCUCGAAAAGCGGUAUGGGGUAACUCAUCGAGGGUUCGAAUCCCUCUCUCUCCGCCA
rnacentral:tRNA from 1 species